GACGAACGCUGGCGGCGUGCUUAACACAUGCAAGUCGAACGGAAAGGCCCUGCUUUUGUGGGGUGCUCGAGUGGCGAACGGGUGAGUAACACGUGAGUAACCUGCCCUUGACUUUGGGAUAACUUCAGGAAACUGGGGCUAAUACCGGAUAGGAGCUCCUGCUGCAUGGUGGGGGUUGGAAAGUUUCGGCGGUUGGGGAUGGACUCGCGGCUUAUCAGCUUGUUGGUGGGGUAGUGGCUUACCAAGGCUUUGACGGGUAGCCGGCCUGAGAGGGUGACCGGCCACAUUGGGACUGCGAUACGGCCCAGACUCCUACGGGAGGCAGCAGUGGGGAAUAUUGCACAAUGGGCGGAAGCCUGAUGCAGCAACGCCGCGUUCGGGAUGACGGCCUUCGGGUUGUAAACCGCUUUCGCCUGUGACGAAGCGUGAGUGACGGUAAUGGGUAAAGAAGCACCGGCUAACUACGUG
rnacentral:rRNA from 1 species